rnacentral:other from 1 species
CUCCGCAGUGCGUAGCAGAUCCUUCCGAAAUAUCUCCUCGACAGUCGUCUGCAUUAACACACAUUCAAUUACAUGCUAGGGGUAUCCGAAAUGGCUACAGGUACAGUCAAGUGGUUCAGCGACGAAAAGGGCUUUGGUUUCAUCGCUCCUUCCGACGGCAGCAAGGACGUCUUCGUCCAUCAUAGCGCCAUCCAGGGCGGCGGCUUCAAGUCCCUCGCAGAGGGUCAGAGCGUCUCCUACGAGGUCGAGCAGGGUCCUAAGGGUCCCAGCGCAGCCAAGGUCGUUUGCCAGUAAAACUGGUCGCCAGGUUUUAAUCUGGUGAAAAAGCCCCGCUUCGGCGGGGCUUUUUUUG